rfam:Glycine soja cultivar W05 scaffold1109_22, whole genome shotgun sequence.
GUUCUGCGGUGAUAAUUUCAUAAAUAAAUUCAUAUGUCAAACUUCAGAUAUUUUCAAAUAAUUGAGAAUAAAAAUUUUGUUACUUAGGAGAAU